CUCUCUCCACCAUUAUCUCCUUAGUCUUGUCCACCAGGUCUAGCAACCUUCAUGCUAAUUUGUCAGCCACUUUAAUAGCUUCCCUAUAACAAUGUUGUACUAUGACCCCUCUCUCCACCAUUAUCUCCUUAGUCUUGUCCACCAGGUCUAGCAACCUUCAUGGUGUCUGAGAUUCUUCAUUUGUUGCCUUCACCAAUAGUUCUCAGAUAGCCUCUCAAUGAUUUUGUGUAUGCCUUGCACAGCACAAUGUUGUAAACCAGCCAACACAACUCUCCCUUCAACCCAAUUACUUGUACCAAUUCCAUGAUGAACCUCCCAUUGUAGUCCCUGAUGACUCCACCUGCUCCACAAUUCCCAUCAAUGCAGCUACCAUUACUGUUAACCUUAACAAACAAUGGUUGUGGCUUAGCCCACUUCACCAACCUGUACAUUCUAGUUUCCAUAGGAGAACCAAUAAGACUCUUUAAGCUUUUCCAUCUUGUAUCCAAA
rnacentral:lncRNA from 1 species